rnacentral:lncRNA from 1 species
AAGAUAACGCACGCCUUGCUCAAGGCAAAAGUUCAGGAAGUCAAAAUUGGUUUGGAGAUGAAAUGGGAAAAACAAGAGCAGCUCCAAAGAGAGAGGAACGUCCAGAAAACCAAGAAAUACGACUGAUAAAGGGUGCUGACCAGGUCUCUGGAGCUGCACCCCGGCCCCAUGCGCCUCCCCAGCCCCCUGGCCGCACUGUGUCCUCCCCGCGCUCGUCGUCCCCCUCGCCCCCAGCGCCACCCUGCGCUGCGGAUCCGGGACCGCCUGGGAAACGCCCUGGCCUGGCAUGGCUUGGGGCUCUGGGCAGAAGCAAGGUCUAAAAACCAAGGUUGGGGCCUCAUGUGUAAGUCUAGAAGCACAAAGCACCGCUUACCAAAACACCUCGAGGCAACCGUAUGGCUUUUUUUUUUUUUAAUUAAGUUGUUCCGGGGCGGUGGCUCACGCCUGUAAUCCCAGCAUGUUGGGAGGCUGAGGCGGGCGGAUCCCUUGAGCACGGAAGCUGAGGCUGCAGAAGGCCGUGGUCGCGCCACUGCACUCCGGCCUGGGGGACAGAGUGAGCCCCUGUCUCAAAAAUAUAAAACAAAAUAAAAAAUUAAUAAUUAAAUUAAA